rnacentral:lncRNA from 1 species
ACAUUCAGCUGGUCGACCUGCUCCUAGUGAACAUGAUAAUCACCAUAAUCCUAGGGGGAAAGAUAUGCAGAAUAGACAAGAAAACAGAAGCACUGCCUCAACAGCCCCUGAAAGCAGUAAGAGUGUCAACACAGGGAAAACAGGCAAUAGCAGACGACAGAACCUCAGCAGACUAGACCACAUGCCACAGCACGAUGCUACAGAAUCAAAUUGAAAUAUUCUUCCAGCUCAUAAUGAAGC